CCGACCUCUGCUCUGGAGGAGGAAUGUGCUGGCAGUCCUGACUCAGCUGUUCCAUGCAGCCUGACUACCAUGUCUGCGCUGAUGUUUGUCCUGCCACGGUUCAACUUAUCAUUUCAUUCCCUAUAGGGUCCAUAAUCAAGAUUCCCUGGUGUGUCCUUUCAGACUUUAUGAUAUUUCUUCCAGGAAACUCAACCUCUGAUCUGGCGCUUCUAGAAAGGACCUGUAGGCAAAUAAUGGACAUGCCCUCAGAGUCAGCACUGGACGUGAUGCAGACACGCAGCCUUUAUUCUACAUUUACUGGUCGAAUAAGCUGAUGCAAUCUCUGUCACCAAACUGAAAUACUUCUUAUUAAAUACCUGGUUACUUGCUAACACACUAUGGGCUGAACUUUGGGAGCCCACCUGCAUCACAAGGGACUGGUCCAAUGAGAUGGAACAACCUAUGCUCCUCACCAACAGGAUAACCCCUCAAGAUUGAAGAUGAACAACAAAAGGGGGGAUUGAUACGGGUUAACACAAGGUUAACAUAAGGGAAGCCAUAUUGUAAAGAAGAAACCAUAUUGUAACUUUGAAUGACCUCUGAUUAACUAACCCAGACAUGCUCUGUAGAUUUUAUGGACCCUGUCCAGCUGCUAUAAUUUGAUAAGUUUGUUCUUUUGAGUUCCUUAGGAAUGUGAUGACCCCCAGGUAGAGAGUCUGUGCUGAUGGCCAUCAUCAUUGACAACUGAAAGAUCAGGGUAUAGGCCAUUGCUCUGGUCUCUGAUGCAUCUCCAGUAAAACAAAAGACUAUCAGAAACUGAGACCAGAUGUCUUCCCCACCUGGAGAACAGAUGGAGGCCCCACUGGGAUUAGGUCUAUUUUUCAGGGACUGUUAAAAUUUGGGUUGUCUAUACUUCUUGUCCUUCUGGUAAGCCAGGAACAUGAGAAUAUUUCCAAAUGAGUGCUAAAAAUGUCAUUCCUUUAACCCAGAUCUAUGCCCCAAUUGAGCAGGAAGUAGCUAGAUCGGUCAUCGCCCCAAAUCCCUCAAGAAUGAGAAGUGACCAAACAAUAGGGGGGAUUGAAACCAGCAAACAGCCAUUGAUGAUUAAGUAUCUAGGUACUAAAGUUUUUUCCUCUUUGCAGUUACUGAUUAUAGCUUUUAGCUGUUGAACCCAGCCAUUGGUAACUGUGCUGUUUAGGCAAUCUGCUACCUGACUCCCACCAGGGUCCUAUAGAUAACAUCUCCCUGGAGCCUGGGUCACCAUGGUAAUGGGUGUGUGAGCUGUUUUUCAGGAAUUAGAACUCCUUGUCCACUUCAGGCCAGUUGAGGCCACCAACCUCUCAACGGGGCUCAAGCAGAUGUCUGAUAGGCAACCUUUCGACAUCAAGAGGCUAAAAACUCCACCCUCUGAUCAUGCUAAUACCGCCAUUUUGUGAACAUGGGUCCUAUGAAGAGUCAUGAAGUCUGACUACGCUUGUGCAGAUCAUGGAUUACCUCACCUCUCCUCACCUCCAAUCACCUCACUCCACAUUUCAGACCACCUUGCCCCAUCCCAUAAAUAUCACUGAGUCCCUUUUUUUGGGGAAGCAAAUUUGGGGCUCAUGCUCCCACUUCCUCACUUGGCUGCCUUGGAAGUAAACCCUCUCUCUGCUGCGAUGUUGUCAUCUCACUGUUUGGCUUUCUCGGGGGGAGGAGUGGAGGGGGGCAAACACGA
ensembl:lncRNA